rnacentral:rRNA from 1 species
GCUUGUCUCAAAGAUUAAGCCAUGCAUGUCUAAGUAUAAACAAAUUUAUAGUGAAACUGCGAAUGGCUCAUUAUAUCAGUUAUAGUUUAUUUGGCGAUAAAAACUACUUGGAUAACCGUAGUAAUUCUAGAGCUAAUACAUGCAUCAUCCCCCAUCUCGGGGUGUAUUUAUUAGAUGGAAACCAAUGCGGGGCAACCCGGAAUAUGGUGAAUCAUAAUAACUUUCGGAUCGACUUCGGUCGAUGCAUCAUUCAAGUUUCUGCCCUAUCAGCUUUGGAUGGUAGGGUAUUGGCCUACCAUGGCUUUAACGGGUAACGGAGAAUUAGGGUUCGAUUCCGGAGAGGGAGCCUGAGAAAUGGCUACCACAUCCAAGGAAGGC